GAUCAUGGCUCAGGAUGAACGCUAGCUACAGGCUUAACACAUGCAAGUCGAGGGGCAGCAUCCCCCCCCCGGUNUUAGCUUGCUAAGGCCGAUGGCGACCGGCGCACGGGUGAGUAACACGUAUCCAACCUGCCGUCUACUCUUGGACAGCCUUCUGAAAGGAAGAUUAAUACAAGAUGGCAUCAUGAGUCCGCAUGUUCACAUGAUUAAAGGUAUUCCGGUAGACGAUGGGGA
rnacentral:rRNA from 1 species